GGCCGCCUGGAGGUGGUGGAGGCGGCGGUCCCCCAGGAGCUCUGCCACCAGGAGGCGGAGGCGGAGGAGGGGCUCCUCCACGCAUUGGAGGAGGUGGUGGCGGUGGGGCACCUCCAAGCAUAGGAGGAGGUGGUGGCGGUGGGGCUCCUCCACGCAUAGGAGGUGGUGGUGGCGGUGGGGCUCCUCCAAGCAUAGGAGGAGGUGGUGGCGGUGGGGCUCCUCCACGCAUUGGAGGAGGUGGUGGUGGUGGGGCUCCUCUAUGCAUUGGAGGAGGUGGUGG
rnacentral:lncRNA from 1 species